rnacentral:rRNA from 1 species
UACGGAGGGUGCAAGCGUUGCCCGGAAUCACUGGGCGUAAAGGGCGCGUAGGCGGCUCGGUAAGUAGGGGGUGAAAUCCUGCGGCUUAACCGCAGGGCUGCCUUCUAAACUGUCGAGCUUGAGCACGGUAGAGGCAGAUGGAAUUCCCGGUGUAGCGGUGGAAUGCGUAGAGAUCGGGAAGAACAUCAGUGGCGAAGGCGGUCUGCUGGGCCGUUGCUGACGCUGAGGCGCGACAGCGUGGGGGAGCAAAC